rnacentral:tRNA from 1 species
CCUCUUGUGGUUUAACACUCAAAGUAUUGGUGCGUGACGCCAGGGGUCCCGGGUUCGAUUCCCGGCAAGGGUC